UUAAGCGACUAAGCGUACACGGUGGAUGCCCUGGCAGUCAGAGGCGAUGAAGGACGUGCUAAUCUGCGAUAAGCGUCGGUGAGGUGAUAUGAACCGUUAUAACCGGCGAUUUCCGAAUGGGGAAACCCAGUGUGUUUCGACACACUAUCAUUAACUGAAUCCAUAGGUUAAUGAGGCGAACCGGGGGAACUGAAACAUCUAAGUACCCCGAGGAAAAGAAAUCAACCGAGAUUCCCCCAGUAGCGGCGAGCGAACGGGGAGGAGCCCAGAGCCUGAAUCAGUGUGUGUGUUAGUGGAAGCGUCUGGAAAGGCGCGCGAUACAGGGUGACAGCCCCGUACACAAAAAUGCACAUACUGUGAGCUCGAUGAGUAGGGCGGGACACGUGGUAUCCUGUCUGAAUAUGGGGGGACCAUCCUCCAAGGCUAAAUACUCCUGACUGACCGAUAGUGAACCAGUACCGUGAGGGAAAGGCGAAAAGAACCCCGGCGAGGGGAGUGAAAAAGAACCUGAAACCGUGUACGUACAAGCAGUGGGAGCCUCUUAAUGGGGUGACUGCGUACCUUUUGUAUAAUGGGUCAGCGACUUAUAUUCUGUAGCAAGGUUAACCGAAUAGGGGAGCCGAAGGGAAACCGAGUCUUAACUGGGCGUUAAGUUGCAGGGUAUAGACCCGAAACCCGGUGAUCUAGCCAUGGGCAGGUUGAAGGUUGGGUAACACUAACUGGAGGACCGAACCGACUAAUGUUGAAAAAUUAGCGGAUGACUUGUGGCUGGGGGUGAAAGGCCAAUCAAACCGGGAGAUAGCUGGUUCUCCCCGAAAGCUAUUUAGGUAGCGCCUCGUGAAUUCAUCUCCGGGGGUAGAGCACUGUUUCGGCAAGGGGGUCAUCCCGACUUACCAACCCGAUGCAAACUGCGAAUACCGGAGAAUGUUAUCACGGGAGACACACGGCGGGUGCUAACGUCCGUCGUGAAGAGGGAAACAACCCAGACCGCCAGCUAAGGUCCCAAAGUCAUGGUUAAGUGGGAAACGAUGUGGGAAGGCCCAGACAGCCAGGAUGUUGGCUUAGAAGCAGCCAUCAUUUAAAGAAAGCGUAAUAGCUCACUGGUCGAGUCGGCCUGCGCGGAAGAUGUAACGGGGCUAAACCAUGCACCGAAGCUGCGGCAGCGACACUAUGUGUUGUUGGGUAGGGGAGCGUUCUGUAAGCCUGUGAAGGUGUACUGUGAGGUAUGCUGGAGGUAUCAGAAGUGCGAAUGCUGACAUAAGUAACGAUAAAGCGGGUGAAAAGCCCGCUCGCCGGAAGACCAAGGGUUCCUGUCCAACGUUAAUCGGGGCAGGGUGAGUCGACCCCUAAGGCGAGGCCGAAAGGCGUAGUCGAUGGGAAACAGGUUAAUAUUCCUGUACUUGGUGUUACUGCGAAGGGGGGACGGAGAAGGCUAUGUUGGCCGGGCGACGGUUGUCCCGGUUUAAGCGUGUAGGCUGGUUUUCCAGGCAAAUCCGGAAAAUCAAGGCUGAGGCGUGAUGACGAGGCACUACGGUGCUGAAGCGACAAAUGCCCUGCUUCCAGGAAAAGCCUCUAAGCAUCAGGUAACAUCAAAUCGUACCCCAAACCGACACAGGUGGUCAGGUAGAGAAUACCAAGGCGCUUGAGAGAACUCGGGUGAAGGAACUAGGCAAAAUGGUGCCGUAACUUCGGGAGAAGGCACGCUGAUAUGUAGGUGAAGCGACUUGCUCGUGGAGCUGAAAUCAGUCGAAGAUACCAGCUGGCUGCAACUGUUUAUUAAAAACACAGCACUGUGCAAACACGAAAGUGGACGUAUACGGUGUGACGCCUGCCCGGUGCCGGAAGGUUAAUUGAUGGGGUUAGCGGUAACGCGAAGCUCUUGAUCGAAGCCCCGGUAAACGGCGGCCGUAACUAUAACGGUCCUAAGGUAGCGAAAUUCCUUGUCGGGUAAGUUCCGACC
rnacentral:rRNA from 1 species